rnacentral:lncRNA from 11 species
CGCCUCUCCAACCAACCAUUUGUAUCUUUGCUUGCCUGCUUGGGUUUAUUUGAAGCCAGGGGCUGCCUUCUCCUUCAAAAAAUGAAAACCAUUUGAUUUGGAAAAUGCCUGAGCAUGUGAGAGCAUUUUGAAAAAAAUCUUGGAAGAGUUCAGUUUCAUUUGCUCUCUUCCUUCUGUUCAGAGCAGGCAGUACUGAGCUCUGUAUAAAUAGCCAAGCUUGUGCUACAUCCAGUUUGAGAGAUCCAAGCAUCUAGCGGAAGGCAAACAACAGCACGGCAGGCUCGGAGCAGCUCACAAAAACUAAAGAUGAUAUAUAUUUCUGCCUCGAUCUCCUGAGCAAUCUCGGGAAGCUUGGAUGGAUUACAAUAAUACUUGAGCAAGGCUGCUGGCGUCUAUAAAACACUGUCACUUACAAGAGGGGAUAAGUGCUAGAGAGAAUGUCAUUAUUUCCACGUAAGAUAAAUGUGAAGAGCUGAUACCCUGGAAAGGAUGAGUCCUGGAGAUAGGCUGAUGGCUUAAACUUCGAAAAUCUUCUCCAAGCAGAAUAGCACAGAUCUGGGAAUGAAGAACUUCUCUGAGCUGAUCAGAAAUGGCAUCGUGGAGCUGAAACCUCACCAGAAGAAAGACCCCUCCCCAUGAAACAAGUACAAUGCACUUUCAGGCUCUGGUUCCUGGUGAAAAAUUCAAGCUGAGAGAAAACUUAACCACUUGGCAGGGAAGGAUGGGUUGGACAAUCUUCUUCAUGCACUCCAAAGGGAACCUGAAGGAUGCCACGCUGAGCUUAAUCUCUGCAGCAUGCUUGGUAAUUUUCUCCUCCUGAUGCACUGCAUGGUUAGCCUGAGGAGAAGGAUCAAGAAAUUGGCUACCAAGAUGGUAAUCACUAGUGGAAAUGAAGAAGAAAAAAGCAACCAAGAAAAGGAAAGCAAGGAGGAAUCCAUCCUAGCGAUGCUUGGGAUUAUUGGGACAAUUUUGAACCUCGUUGUGAUCAUUUUUGUGUACAUCUACACGACAUUGUGAACCCCAGAAAGAAACUGGUGAAGACAGCUGACAAGAGGCGAUGGCAAACGUUGUCAGUUGUUGACACAUGACUUAAUGAGAAUUGACUCUGUAGUAUAUUACGACAUCACAAAAACAUUGCCUGUGGGCGGUGGAAGCUGAAGCACAAUUAAUUGAACCAGACUUUUUUUCACACAGUUACAAACAAAACUCCUUCCUGUCUUUCUCUUGCUGCUCUGCCUUUCUUCUUUGCAUUUGUUCUAGAUAAAUGACUGCAAAUAUGUAAGUAUCCUUUUUGGAGAUGGAGGAGAAGCAACAAGAACAAAGUCACUACGGACCAGCAAAUUCAAUACAGCCAAAGACUGGACACUCUUAUAAACAUUGAGAAAUGUAUAGCAUUUCCAUGCUAAGAUAUGUUCCACAGAUAGCCAGGUAGCUAUCUUUCAUGUCCAUUAGGCUGCAUUGUCUUCUCUUUGGGAUUUUAUUUACAUUGAAGCUGGCAAGCUUUUCAUUUUGAAAUGAACAUAUGGUGCAAUCGCAAGGUGGGAGGGCGGGAGGGGGGAGAAACAAGGAUUCCACUCAGCCGCCUGAGCAAACAAAAGAUGAAACAUUGAGCAAAGUAAAGUUACAUGACAUUUCUUUUCUCUCUCUCGUUGGCUUGACAUCUGUGUCUCUUCAUACUGAUGUUUAUAAAUAUAUAUUUUUAAUAAAUGUGCUAUAUUUUUAGCAUGAGCCAAAC